AUGGAGCAGAAACCACGACGGAACAUGCCACACGCGCAAGCAACCGACAACUCCGACUUUGACGACGAGCAACACGGGGGAAAUAUGCAGGACUUGCGCCGACCGUGCCCAAAAGAGCACCUCGGACACGCCGGGAAGAACCGACUACCAAAGACCACGCCGCGACCCAAGCUCCUCUCGACGCCAUCAUCGUUGCCAAACAGAAACCAGCGCCCCGCCUCAGCAAACCACGCGGCGAAGAUGCCGCCAUCGACGGCGAAGAUGCCAUCAUCCUCCAGUCCCUCAGUCGUAGCCGGCUCCGAGACGAUGCCCCCAAGGAGGAGAAAGACGCGAAGACGCCUCCAUCGCCCGAUCCAAUGGAUCUGA
rnacentral:rRNA from 1 species